rnacentral:misc_RNA from 1 species
UUCCUGCUGUCCUUGAGGAUGGAAUCAGGGUGCUUAUCUAUGCUGGAGAGGAGGAUCUCAUAUGCAAUUGGCUUGGAAAUUCAAGGUGGGUUCAUGCAAUGGAAUGGUCUGGCCAGCAAGAUUUUGGAGCAGCCCCAACUGUUCCAUUUGUUGUUGAGGGUGCAGAAGCAGGACAAAUGAAAAGCCAUGGUCCUCUCACUUUCCUCAAGGUGCGUGAGGCUGGUCACAUGGUUCCAAUGGAUCAACCAAAAGCUGCAUUACAGAUGCUGAAAAGUUGGAUGCAAGGAAAGCUUGCUGUGACUAGAACUAAAGAAAGAAUUUCUCCCAAGUGAUCACCCCAUUUAAAUCUGAUCCCAUUUUCUUAGCAUGCGCAAGCACAGCCUCACAUUUAUAGUUCUUAGAGUUCUGUAGGCUUUCAUAUGCUGGGUCCCGCUGAAUUCAAGGAGAUCAUUCUCAACUCUUCACAGAUAUACAAAAGAAUAAAAAAAAAAAAAGGGAAAAACGCAUGCUUUUGCAAAUAUGCAUUUGGGAAUAAGCAGUUUCACUUCUGUAGAAGGGAGCAAUAACAGUUGUUCACUUAAAAUUUUUACCUAGAAGCUUAAUUCAUAUUUCAUCAACAUUAUUACUGGAU